GCCCUUUGUACACACCGCCCGUCGCUACUACCGAUUGAAUGGCUCAGUGAGGCCUUCGGACUGGCCCAGGGAGGUCGGCAACGACCACCCAGGGCCGGAAAGUUCGUCAAACUUGGUCAUUUAGAGGAAGUAAAAGUCGUAACAAGGUCUCCGUAGGUGAACCUGCGGAGGGAUCAUU
rnacentral:rRNA from 1 species